CAGCUGUUUCGGCGUGUGGCGGCUGCCCUUCCCGGGAUGGAGAGCAUGCAGGAGACGAGCAAGGAGGGAAUGAUUGACAUCAAGAUGGACAAACCGCAGGAGCCUCCGACCACUGAAGGCGGGUGCUCCUGUUGAUCCUGAUUGGAAGUUUUCAUCUAAACCACUUGCUUGUUGUGUUGCUUCCUAUUGGUUAGCUUCCACUUGAGUUUUCAGAUUAGAAUCUGGCCUUUUCAUCUAAAUAUUGGUUAUCGGUUGGAAACUAGCGUGAUACACAUAGAAUACUGUACUUUAUUAACGAAUAUUGCCAACAACAACAAAAAAAGUCUUAACAAGUAUUACAAUGAUCAAAAUCAUGAAUAAAAAAAGUCCCUUAACCACAUAAAACAUACGUAAUAUACUUGUUUUUGUAAAAGUAGAAUAGAACGUUUUCUUCUUCUUUGUCUUCUUUUUGUAUUUUUGUAAUGUUAAAGAAAAUAAAAAGACACAGACAAAUUCUCCUCUUGGUUAGAGGCUCAAAUGGCACCCUGUUGUUCCCUAUAUAUAGUGCACAAAUAAGGCCCUGGUCAAAAGUAGUGCACUCUAAAGGGAAUAGGGUGUCAUUGUGAUGGAAAGAAAGAGCUGAAUUGGAACACGCAGCCUAAUGACUAGAGAGGGCAAACUGACCAGUAACUUUUCACUGAAUAUCUAAUGCAUGCAUGCCAAUUAUUAUUAUUAUUAUUAUAUAUAUUAUUUUUUUAGGUCGGCUUAUUAAUGUACUGUCUGCUGAUGUACACUGUUUAGAUAUGAAAAUGCUCUUAACUUACA